CUCAGGAUGAACGCUGGCGGCGUGCCUAAUACAUGCAAGUCGAGCGAACAGAUAAGGAGCUUGCUCCUUUGACGUUAGCGGCGGACGGGUGAGUAACACGUGGAUAACCUACCUAUAAGACUGGGAUAACUUCGGGAAACCGGAGCUAAUACCGGAUAACAUAUUGAACCGCAUGGUUCAAUAGUGAAAGGCGGCUUUGCUGUCACUUAUAGAUGGAUCCGCGCCGUAUUAGCUAGUUGGUAAGGUAACGGCUUACCAAGGCAACGAUACGUAGCCGACCUGAGAGGGUGAUCGGCCACACUGGAACUGAGACACGGUCCAGACUCCUACGGGAGGCAGCAGUAGGGAAUCUUCCGCAAUGGGCGAAAGCCUGACGGAGCAACGCCGCGUGAGUGAUGAAGGUCUUCGGAUCGUAAAACUCUGUUAUCAGGGAAGAACAAAUGUGUAAGUAACUGUGCACAUCUUGACGGUACCUGAUCAGAAAGCCACGGCUAACUACGUGCCAGCAGCCGCGGUAAUACGUAGGUGGCAAGCGUUAUCCGGAAUUAUUGGGCGUAAAGCGCGCGUAGGCGGUUUUUUAAGUCUGAUGUGAAAGCCCACGGCUCAACCGUGGAGGGUCAUUGGAAACUGGAAAACUUGAGUGCAGAAGAGGAAAGUGGAAUUCCAUGUGUAGCGGUGAAAUGCGCAGAGAUAUGGAGGAACACCAGUGGCGAAGGCGACUUUCUGGUCUGUAA
rnacentral:rRNA from 1 species